CCAGGAAAAUGGCAAUUGCAUCUUCCUUCUGGAAGAACCUUUACCCUAACUUCUGAACACCAGGUCAAAGGACAGUGUCAGAGUGGGUUCCGUUGGUGAUCUAAAUCAAAAGGAAAUUUGUGCCUCAUUAACCGAGCCGGUAGCUGCCAGAUUAAACCAACACACCGCCUGUGUGCCCUCCAAGACCUCGGUGCCCCUCCAGUGCUGGCCUCUAGAACAUCCCCAUAUUUAAUCUCUC